UCCCGUUUAGCUCAGUGGUAGAGCGCUUCACUAGUAUCCACUAUGUUUGGUCUAUGAAGAGGUCAGUCGUUCAAGUCGGCUAAUGGGAA